GGGAGACACAGAGGAAGAAACGUGGAGCCAGGAGCUGAGGAUUGACAGUCUAAGUAAAAUGAUGCUGCAGGCUGCCUUCAUGUGAUAACCUGGAGUUCACAAAGAAAAUCCUCUCAGGUCAACUGAGGAUGCUCCCAUCUGUAUUCAGGCUGCCAGCUCGCUGUAACUUUCAUCUCGGCUAGAGCCAAGUCAUGAUCAACGUAUCAUCGCCAUUGCUCUCUGUGGAGUGUCCAAUGCAAAUAGUUGGACUGAGGAUGUUCUCUUAUGAUGGGGCCA